UACAGAGGUCUCAAGCGUUGUUCGGAUUCAUUGGGCGUAAAGGGUGCGUAGGUGGCGCGCUAAGUCAGGUGUGAAAUUUCGGAGCUUAACUCCGAAACUGCAUUUGAUACUGGCGUGCUUGAGGACUGGAGAGGAGACUGGAAUUCAUGGUGUAGCAGUGAAAUGCGUAGAGAUCGUGAGGAAGACCCGUGGCGAAGGCGGAUCUCUGGACGGCUAACUGACGCUGAGGCGCGAAGGCCAGGGGAGCAAAACGGGG
rnacentral:rRNA from 1 species